AUUGAACGCUGGCGGAAUGCUUUACACAUGCAAGUCGGGCGGCAGCGCGGGGGCAACCCUGGCGGCGAGCGGCGAACGGGUGAGUAACACAUCGGAACGUACCCUGUCGUGGGGGAUAACGAAUCGAAAGAUUCGCUAAUACCGCAUACGACCUGAGGGUGAAAGCGGGGGAUCGCAAGACCUCGCGCGAGAGGAGCGGCCGAUGGCGGAUUAGCUAGUUGGUGGGGUAAAGCCCACAAGGCGACGAUCCGUAGCGGGUCUGAGAGGACGGCCCGCCACACUGGGACUGAGACACGGCCCAGACUCCUACGGGAGGCAGCAGUGGGGAAUUUUGGGACAAUGGGGGCAACCCUGAUCCAGCCAUUCCGCGUGAGUGAAGAAGGCCUCGGUUGUAAGACUCUUUCGGUCAGGAACGAAACGG
rnacentral:rRNA from 1 species